AGAGUUUGAUCCUGGCUCAGAACAAACGCUGGCGGCGUGCCUAACACAUGCAAGUCGUACGAGAAAGGGUCCUUCGGGACCUGAGUAAAGUGGCGCACGGGUGAGUAACGCGUGGAUAAUCUGCCCCUCAGUUGGGAAUAACUCAUCGAAAGGUGGGCUAAUACCGAAUAAUACUGUGAGACUUUGGUCGAUCAGUCAAAGAGAGCCUCUGCUUGCAAGCCCUCGCUGAAGGAUGAGUCCGCGUACCAUUAGCUWGUUGGUAGGGUAAUGGCCUACCAAGGCGACGAUGGUUAGCUGGUCUGAGAGGAUGAUCAGCCACACUGGAACUGAGACACGGUCCAGACUCCUACGGGAGGCAGCAGUGAGGAAUCUUGCGCAAUGGGGGCAACCCUGACGCAGCAACGCCGCGUGAGUGAGGAAGGUCUUCGGAUCGUAAAGCUCUGUCAGUUGGGAAGAAAUACCUGAGGGUCAAUACCUUUCAGGCUUGACGGUACCAACAGAGGAAGCACCGGCUAACUCCGUGCCAGCAGCCGCGGUAAUACGGGGGGUGCAAGCGUUGUUCGGAAUUAUUGGGCGUAAAGAGCGUGUAGGCGGCCUGAUGUGUCAGAUGUGAAAGCCCUGGGCUUAACCCAGGAAGUGCAUUUGAAACUGUCAGGCUCGAGUAGGGGAGAGGGAAGUGGAAUUCCUGGUGUAGAGGUGAAAUUCGUAGAUAUCAGGAGGAACACCGGUGGCGAAGGCGACUUCCUGGCCCUAUACUGACGCUGAGACGCGAGAGCGUGGGUAGCAAACAGGAUUAGAUACCCUGGUAGUCC
rnacentral:rRNA from 1 species